rnacentral:lncRNA from 1 species
AAACAAUAAACGAUACCAUGAACGAACAGCUUCACAGGCUACGAAUAGCAAUGCAAAUACAAUUCCCCACCAACAGCGUGCGGGAAAAUGAACUUAAAUGAGAUCCCAAUCAGAGACAACUAGCGACAGCUGUCUCUGAUUGGGAAGACAGAAACCAACAUAGAAAUACUCCCCAAUAGAGCCAACACAAGGCUCCAACGCAAAACAGAAAACAAACACAGGAAAACCACCCAACAUAAACCACCCUGACCCAUGCCCAGCAUGUGCUGGGCAUGUCCACCGGACGCACCCGCCAGUGCGCCCGCACAGCCCGGUGCGUCCGGUGGACAUGCCCAGCACAUGCCGUGCUAGGAUGGGCAUCCAGCCAGGACGAGUGGCUAAACCGGCUCCACGCUUCAGGUCACCAGUGCGUGUUCACAGUCCUGUCUGGCCCGUUCCUGUUCCCCGCACCAAGCCCACGGUGCGUGUCCCCAGUCCUGUCCGGCCCGUCCCUGCUCCCCGCACCAAGCCAUGGUAUGCUGAGUUGCGCGCUGUGUCGCCAGUGCGCCCGCACAGCCCGGUGCGUCCGGUGGACAUGCCCAGCACAUGCCGUGCUAGGAUGGGCAUCCAGCCAGGACGAGUGGCUAAACCGGCUCCACGCUUCAGGUCACCAGUGCGUGUUCACAGUCCUGUCUGGCCCGUUCCUGUUCCCCGCACCAAGCCCACGGUGCGUGUCCCCAGUCCUGUCCGGCCCGUCCCUGCUCCCCGCACCAAGCCAUGGUAUGCAGAGUUGCGCGCUGUGUCGCCAGUGCGCCCGCACAGCCCAGUGCGUCCGGUGGACAUGCCCAGCACAUGCCGUGCUAGGAUGGGCAUCCAGCCAGGACGAGUGGCUAAACCGGCUCCACGCUUCAGGUCACCAGUACGUGUUCACAGUCCUGUCUGGCCCGUCCCUGCUCCCCGCACCAGGUUAGUGGUGCGUGUCCCCAGUCCUGUCCGGCCCGUCCCUGCUCCCCGCACCAGGUUAGUGGUGCGUGUCCCCAGUCCUGUCCGGCCCGUCCCUGCUCCCCGCACCAGGUUAGUGGUGCGUGUCCCCAGUCCUGUCCGGCCCGUCCCUGCUCCCCGCACCAAGUCAGUGGUGCGUGUCCCCAGUCCGGUCCGGCCCGUCCCUGCUCCCCGCACCAAGUCAGUGGUGCGUGUCCCCAGUCCGGUCCGGCCCGUCCCUGCUCCCCGCACCAGGUUAGUGGUGCGUGUCCCCAGUCCUGUCCGGCCCGUCCCUGCUCCCCGCACCAGGUUAGUGGUGCGUGUCCCCAGUCCUGUCCGGCCCGUCCCUGCUCCCCGCACCAAGUCAGUGGUGCGUGUCCCCAGUCCGGUCCGGCCCGUCCCUGCUCCCCGCACCAAGUCAGUGGUGCGUGUCCCCAGUCCGGUCCGGCCCGUCCCUGCUCCCCGCACCAGGUUAGUGGUGCGUGUCCCCAGUCCUGUCCGGCCCGUCCCUGCUCCCCGCACCAGGUUAGUGGUGCGUGUCCCCAGUCCUGUCCGGCCCGUCCCUGCUCCCCGCACCAGGUUAGUGGUGCGUGUCCACAGUCCUGUCCGGCCCGUCCCUGUUCCCCGCACCAAGCCCACGGUGCGUGUCCACAGUCCUGUCCGGCCCGUCCCUGUUCCCCGCACCAAGCCCACGGUGCGUGUCCACAGUCCUGUCCGGCCCGUUCCUGUUCCCCGCACCAAGCCCACGGUGCGUGUCCACAGUCCGGCACGGCCCGUGUCUGGUCCACCGGUGCCCAAUCAUGUUCCGGUCGACGGCUCCGCUCCGGAGCCUGAGCAUGCCGCUCCACAGUGGUCCAGUCCGGGCCAGAGGGGUAGGGCUAGGGUGGAGGCAGGGGGAGAAACACGCCCGGGGCCAGAGCCUCCACCGAGGGUGAGGCGCCCACCCGGGUCCCCCCCCUAAUAGACUUUAGUUUGGUGCGCCGGGAGUACGCAGCGUUGGAGGGGGGGUACUGUCACGCCCUGACCAGGUGAACUCUGCUAUUUUGGUCAGGGUGUGGCAUUUCUAUGCUUUAUUUUCUAUGUUUUGGUUAUAGCCUUUCUUUGUGUUUUAUUUCUAUGUUGGGCUCGGGGGUGAUUUCCCAAUCAGACAGCUGUCGCUUGUGAAGUCUGAUUGGGAAUCACAUUUAAGUUCCUUUUCC